GACGAACGCUGGCGGCGUGCUUAACACAUGCAAGUCGAACGGAAAGGCCUGCUUUUCCUUGUGGAUUUCGUGUGCUCGAGUGGCGAACGGGUGAGUAACACGUGAGUGAUCUGCCCCCAACUUGGGUAUAAGCCCGGGAACCUGGGUCUAAUUCCCGAUAGGACUGCAGGGUGGUGCCUGUGGUGGAAAACGAUCUUCUAGUGGUUGGGGAUGAGCUCGCGGCCUAUCAGGUUGUUGGUGGGGUAAUGGCCUACCACGGCGGCGACGGGUAGCCGGCCUGGGAGCGGCGACGCUCAAACUGAGACAGGGAACAGGCCCCGACAACGAGGAGAAGCAGCAGUGGUGAAGCGAGCAGCGAGGGCCGUAGGGUGACGCAGCGACGCCGUGUUGGGGAUGACGGCCUUCGGGUUGUAAGCUCCCAUCGAACGACAGAAAGCAACGUGAUUGGAAGGGUGGUGACGGUAGUGGAAGAAGAAGCACCGGCUAACUACGUG
rnacentral:rRNA from 1 species